GUGCCAGCCGCCGCGGUAAUACGUAGGUGGCAAGCGUUAUCCGGAAUUAUUGGGCGUAAAGCGCGCGUAGGCGGUUUUUUAAGUCUGAUGUGAAAGCCCACGGCUCAACCGUGGAGGGUCAUUGGAAACUGGAAAACUUGAGUGCAGAAGAGGAAAGUGGAAUUCCAUGUGUAGCGGUGAGAUGCGCAGAGAUAUGGAGGAACACCAGUGGCGAAGGCGACUUUCUGGUCUGUAACUGACGCUGAUGUGCGAAAGCGUGGGGAUCAAACAGGAUUAGAUACCCUGGUAGUCAAGGGCG
rnacentral:rRNA from 1 species